UUUUUGAAAGAAUUAUAGAUGUUGCUUUGCGGGCAAGAAGUGAACCCCAAUAAGAGUCACAAAAUUUUAAAGAGAGUUAUAUGGAUAAAAUUGCACCAGCUUGGACUAAGGAAGAGACAGUUCAAAAUGAAAAAACCUUCCAAGCCCCCAACUUCCUACGGGCAGGAAGCAGGCUGAGAGAGUUAUUUAACUGUAAAAGGAAGGAAGGCAGUUUCUUUUCUUUUUUUUUUUUGGUGGUGUUAGUAACUUUUAUUGAAGCGGCAGUGUACAGCAGCAGAGGUACU
rnacentral:lncRNA from 1 species